CCCUUAGAUGUUCUGGGCGGCCCGCGCACUACAAUGGCGUGUGCAGCGAGUGCCGAAGUAGAGUUUUCCAAGGUAUUCUUGCAAUGCUCGUUUUGAUGGGGAUAGACCCUUGCAACUGUUGGUUUUGAACGAGGAAUUCCUUGUAAGCAUGGUUUAUCAUCCGACGCUGAAUGCGUCCCUGCCCUUUGUACACACCGCCCGUCGCUCCUACCGAUGAGUCGUCCGGUGAAGUUCGUAGACCUCGUGAUCGCGGAUCACUGGGGGAAGCAAAAUGAACCUCGCGGUUUAGAGGAAGGAGAAGUCGUAACA
rnacentral:rRNA from 1 species